AAAUUGAAGAGUUUGAUCAUGGCUCAGAUUGAACGCUGGCGGCAGGCCUAACACAUGCAAGUCGAACGGUAACAGGAAGCAGCUUGCUGCUUUGCUGACGAGUGGCGGACGGGUGAGUAAUGUCUGGGAAACUGCCCAAUGGAGGGGGAUAACUACUGGAAACGGUAGCUAAUACCGCAUAACGUCGCAAGACCAAAGAGGGGGACCUUAGGGCCUCUUGCCAUCGGAUGUGCCCAGAUGGGAUUAGCUAGUAGGUGGGGUAA
rnacentral:rRNA from 1 species